rnacentral:rRNA from 1 species
UACCGGCAGCACGAGUGAUGACCGAUAUUAUUGGGCCUAAAGCGUCCGUAGCUGGCCAGACAAGUCCGUUGGGAAAUCCACGCGCUCAACGCGUGGGCGUCCGGCGGAAACUGUUUGGCUUGGGGCCAGAAGACCUGAGGGGUACGUCCGGGGUAGGAGUGAAAUCCUGUAAUCCUGGACGGACCACCAAUGGGGAAACCACCUCAGGAGGAUGGACCCGACAGUGAGGGACGAAAGCUAGGGUCUCGAA